rnacentral:piRNA from 1 species
UGGUAAUUAGUGUCCGCCUGAACUUGGAA